CGCCCCCUGCAAAGACUUUGAAGAAUAGGGGGUUCUGCCUGCCCAGUGACGUAGUUAAACGGCCGCGGUAUUUUGACCGUGCAAAGGUAGCAUAAUCAUUUGCCCCUUAAAUAGGGGCUGGUAUGAAUGGCAAGACGGAGGUUAAGCUGUCUCUUUCUUAUGAAGCUUUAAUUUCAUAUUUUCGUGAAGAAGCGAAAAUAAAUUCGUAGGACGAGAAGACCCUAUCGAGCUUCAGUGAUAUUACUAGUAACGUGACAGUAUAGAUUAUCUAAUCUAGCUACAAAUGGCUUGUAACAUUUAAUUAUCUGUGCUUAGUUAUCUAGUAAAAUAACUUUGGUUGGGGCAAUCGCGGAGUAAAAGCACCCUCCGUUAUUAGUGAGAAAAAUUACUAUUUUGUGUAAUAAGUGAUCCGCUUUAUAGCGAGCAAAGGAAUAAGUUACCGUAGGGAUAACAGCGUAAUUUUUUUGGAGAGUUCAUAUUGAUAAAAAAGUUUGCGACCUCGAUGUUGGAUCGAGAUUUCCUGGAGAUGCAGCAGUUUCCAAGGGUUGGUCUGUUCGACCAUUAAAAUCUU
rnacentral:rRNA from 1 species